rnacentral:lncRNA from 1 species
UUCAAAACAAACUACCUAAUCUUAUCUUGUCCCCUCCCUUUUGUCACCAACCUUAAGAAGGGAUUAAUUUUGUGUGACAAAGCAGAAGUUUUUUACCAUGGAAAAAUUUUGGGAGAGGCCGAACUGCAAUAAGGGGUGUGAGGUCUUUAGGGUGGGCAUCCAUCUUGGCUUGUGAGAUUAGAGGAGAACUAUCUCCUCUUUGGGUGAGUGAUCUAGGGUUUUUGAUGAGUGAAAAAUAAAGAGAAAAGAAAAGUUCUCCUCCUUCCUUCCACCACCACUUCAUCCUUUUAAUCCAUCUUUUUCUUCGAAAGAGUGCAUGAAAUUUGAAAUGGGGCAC